rnacentral:rRNA from 1 species
UACGUAGGGGGCGAGCGUUGUCCGGGUUUAUUGGGCGUAAAGAGCUCGUAGGCGGUUCGAUAAGUCGGACGUGAAAUCUCCACGCUCAACGUGGAGGGGCCGUUCGAUACUGUCGUGACUCGAGUCCGGUAGGGGAGUGUGGAAUUCCCGGUGUAGCGGUGAAAUGCGCAGAGAUCGGGAGGAACACCCGUAGCGAAGGCGGCACUCUGGGCCGGUACUGACGCUGAGGAGCGAAAGCGUGGGGAGCAAACAGG